AUGAUAUCUCUAGAAGACAUCUGAAGGAGAUUAAAGAUUUAUCGGUGAUGGAUGGGGAUGCGUCUGAUUAGCUUGUUGGCGGGGUAACGGCCCACCAAGGCGACGAUCAGUAGGGGUUCUGAGAGGAAGGUCCCCCACAUUGGAACUGAGACACGGUCCAAACUCCUACGGGAGGCAGCAGUGAGGAAUAUUGGUCAAUGGACGAGAGUCUGAACCAGCCAAGUAGCGUGCAGGAUGACGGCCCUAUGGGUUGUAAACUGCUUUUAUAAGGGAAUAAAGUGAGUCUCGUGAGACUUUUUGCAUGUACCUUAUGAAUAAGGACCGGCUAAUUCCGUGCCAGCAGCCGCGGUAAUACGGAAGGUCCGGGCGUUAUCCGGAUUUAUUGGGUUUAAAGGGAGCGUAGGCCGGAGAUUAAGCGUGUUGUGAAAUGUAGACGCUCAACGUCUGCACUGCAGCGCGAACUGGUUUCCUUGAGUACGCACAAAGUGGGCGGAAUUCGUGGUGUAGCGGUGAAAUGCUUAGAUAUCACGAAGAACUCCGAUUGCGAAGGCAGCUCACUGGAGCGCAACUGACGCUGAAGCUCGAAAGUGCGGGUAUCGAACAGGAUUAGAUACCCUGGUAGUCCGCACGGUAAACGAUGGAUGCCCGCUGUUGGUCUGAAUAGGUCAGCGGCCAAGCGAAAGCAUUAAGCAUCCCACCUGGGGAGUAC
rnacentral:rRNA from 1 species